AUGAAAGUUAUAAAAGGCCAGGAGCUGCUCAGGAGGAGGGAGAUGCAACCCAGCAUGUAGGAGCCUGAGGAGGCAAGGGUCCUGCCCACCUGAACACAGGUGUAUUUAGCUCUGCUGCCUUCCGAGGGACCAGCAGCUACAGAGCCUCAAGGGCCCAUGGGAGCCAGAGCCUCUGAAGUGCGCUGCUGCCACAGCUGGAAAAGAAUCAUCCUUCCAACCUCCUUACUGUAUUCACACAUCCCAUGUGAGCUCUCCAAAGGCAGCGGCAGCUCUGAGGCGACGCCGCUCUGAAGACUGUGGGGUUGGCUACACCAUGGUCCUUGCGCACAGAAACCACCAAACAAGAAAGGAACAUCAAGGCUCCCUAGAGCCCUGUCUCUCUCUGUCUGCCCAGGCAGCAUCUGAACCAAACGCAAAAUGGCAUCGGGCUAGGAAUAGAAAGUGGGCUGAGGAUAAGUGCAAGUGUGGAGCCAUUAACAGAUGCACCGGUGGUGGAGCCAGUGGAUUGUUCUCUGUUCUAGCUGAUCGUCUGGCUUAGGUUUUUCUCGGAUGCUGAUCGCCGUGGUUCUGAUGACCAGAUUUUCAAACACCAGCUUGGUCACCUGCGCUGCAUCAUUGGACACAUUCCAAAGUAUGUCCUGCACGGAGAACUAGUGGCUGCUCCAAGGACACUGGGCCGACCUUGGCUCAGGUUUGAGGAUGUUUGCCAGAGGGACUUGAAAACAUAGAAUAUCACCACUGCAAGCUGGAAAGACGCACCUAGCAGGAGGCCCCGUUGGUUCACAGUGCUGUGCCAGGGAGGCAAAGAGGCUGAAGAGAGGUGCUUGAGAGAGAGGAAAGGGAAGAGAGUGAAAAGUGCAGCCAGCCUCACGCUCUAGUAGUGCGUCAGUUUCAUCCUCUGGCCCUGCACCUUACACCUGCGUUAUCGGCGGCAAGGAUGGUUGCUCAAGAAUUGGACUUGUCUACCUGCCCAUGAUGCUGCAGCAUGACCUGCAGGAACUGGCCUGCUCUGGUGCUUACACUACGAGACAGAGGUGCCUUUCCAUUCCAUUCCUUCAGCACCCAACACACGGAGUCUCCCUUGGUCUCCAGGCCUGCUACUAAAUGCUGAAUACUUCUGAACAGCUGGCCACUGCAUUGACAUGGCCAGAUGUUUAGAACUCAUUUGAAAACCUGGCCUCUGCAUGGCUGGUUCAUAGCAGGGCUGGCAUCACUUUAGGACAAGAUCUUUAUUAUUCAUAUGAAUGGCUAAGCCUUUUUUUACAAAUCCUGCUAAUCUCUCUGCCUUGAUACCUUGUGGCAGUGAGUUCCACAGGUAAAUUAUCUCAGCUCAAACAGGACUUCUUUGGAUGGGCUUUAGUUUUUUUUUGUCAGUUAAUUUCAGUGCCCCCCCCCUUGUUUUUUUAUUCUGAGUGGGUACGCAGGCACACCUGCCCUACACUUUCCAUUAGGUUAUGCAUCUCUGUCUCAUCUCCUCUUAUUUAGCUUCCCUUUAGACUAGAUUGUUCUUAUCUUUUUCAUUUCCUCCCUGUGGAGGCUGCCACAGUUACGGGUCUAGCUGCAUGCUGUCUCCUUGCUGGGCUCCCUGAGUUCACCCUCUCAGAACUUCCCCUAUCCUGGGCUAGAAUUUUACAUCCGUCCCCCUCUUAGAUGGAGCCCAAGGCUACAACUAUGUUUACCCAGCAGGUCUGACUGGGUUCAGACACCGGCUGUCCCUCCUUUGGGAAGCUGGGACCAGCAGUGCCCAGGGAUCUGCCAGGCUCCUUAACACCCAAGAUUGUUCAUUUUAUCAGCAGGGAUGCAGCAUUUAGAGAAAAAGGGAUUUGAAAACAGUCUGCACAGCUCUCUAUCUAACCUGAUGGCAGGCCUGACUUCUCCAGAGUCCCUGCUGGGUACCCUGAAUGACAUCCCCAUCUCGAGUGCUCCUUUCUAAAUCUGCCCCAAUUCUUCAGAUCUCUGGGUUGUGUGAGCCAUCCCCUGCCCUGGCAUUGUCUCUUAACAACCUUCAAGAGACUUCUCUUGAUCCAUUCUUUCUGCAUCCAGCUCAUUCUUUCUUUCUGCCCUUCACUGCAUGGACCCCAGUAUAUUUAGACAGCAAACCACCCAAUAACCAG